UACGUAGGUGGCAAGCGUUGUCCGGAUUUAUUGGGUUUAAAGGGUGCGUAGGCGGCUUUGUAAGUCAGUGGUGAAAUAUGGCAGCUUAACUGUCAAGGUGCCAUUGAUACUGCAGAGCUUGAGUACAGAUGAGGUAGGCGGAAUUGACGGUGUGGCGGUGAAAUGCUUAGAUAUCGUCAAGAACACCUAUAGCGAAGGCAGCUUACUAAGCUGUAACUGACGCUGAGGCACGAAAGUGUGGGGAUCAAACAGG
rnacentral:rRNA from 1 species